UACGAAGGGGGCUAGCGUUGUUCGGAAUUACUGGGCGUAAAGGGCGCGUAGGCGGUGCUGUAAGUCAGGCGUGAAAUCCCCGGGCUCAACCUGGGAAUUGCGUUUGAUACUGCGGCGCUGGAAUGCGGGAGAGGAUGGCGGAAUUCCCAGUGUAGAGGUGAAAUUCGUAGAUAAUUGGGAAGAACACCGGUGGCGAAGGCGGCACUCUGGCCCGUA
rnacentral:rRNA from 1 species